rnacentral:tRNA from 1 species
GCAUCCGUAGCUCAGCUGGAUAGAGUACUCGGCUACGANNAGCGGUCGGAGGUUCGAAUCCUCCCGGAUGCACCA